UGGAUCGAUGAUGACUGCUGGUGGCGUAUGAGUCUUACAUGAUGAAUACGUGUCUGGAACUCUGAGGUCCAU
rnacentral:snoRNA from 10 species